AUCGCAGGUGGUCGGGUUUGGGGCGGGACUGUGGGCAGAACCGCUGUAGGGAGCCAUCUCCUGUGAGGCCCCGCUUCCCUUCCCCGAGUGGAAGCUCUGCACUUGCGGGUAUCGCGUGGGCUGGGACCCGGCUGCGAGUGGGAUAUGAUAAAAAUCUAAAAACAGGUCCUCGUAAGCAAGUAAAAUAGUAAAAGGCAAUAUUUGUUGGUAGCCUAUAGAGAGGCUCAUGUUAUCUCCAUUUAUAGAUGAGAAUCCCUGAGCCAAGAACGAUUAAGUGGUUGACGAAAAGGUUCUUAAAUUGGAUUGUAGUGAGGGUUGCACAACUCUGAAAUUUGCUACAAAGACAUUAAAUUGUACACUUAGAUUGGGUUAAAGGUGUGCCAGCGGCGGAGAUAGAAGAGACUCGCUGGUCACUAAUCAUUAAGCCGAGUUAAAGCGAAUUUGAGGAUGAGACUUGGGCACAGACAGGCCUUUCCUCCAAGGUUUGGAGCCAAUUUCUGGACACUACUUUCCCCCGGAGGGCCUGUCGGAGGCCGUUGAGGUGGGCAACUGUGGCUGCGUUAACUCCCUGGCGGGGGUGGUGUGGGGAGGGUGCAGCUUUGGAGUGAGGCCAUUGGUGUGUGUGGAGUAACCUGUUAGUAAUUCAGGUUAUGCGCCCGCUGUUUUUUCAAUUGUGACAAAAUAUAGUAUAAAUUUGUCCAUUUAUGACUAUUUUUACUGUACAGUUCAAUAGUGUUAUUAAGUGCAUUCACAUAAACUCUUCAUCUAGUAAAACUGAAACUCUAAACCCAUUAAAUAACAAUGACCCAAUCCCCUUCCCUUCUCCCCCCGAAACCUUAGUAACCACCAUUAUAUUCUGUGUUCCUUAUGAUUUUGACUGACUACGUCUGUAAAUGAAAUCAUACAAUAUUUGUCAUUUUUUGACUGGUUUAUUUCACUUGGCGUACUGUCCUCAAGGUUCAUUCAUGUUGUAGCAUGUGCUAGAAUGUCCUUCCUUUUAAGGCUGAAAAAUAUUCCACUAUAUGUGUAUACCACAUUUUGUUUAUCCAUUCAUCUAUCAGUGGACACUUGGGUUGUUUGCACUAUUUGGCUAUCAUUAAUAAUGCUGCCAUGAGCAUUAUUUAGAAUAUAAAUAUCUUUCAAUUCUUGGGAAUAGAGAAUCUAUGUGUUUUGAAUUUGACAUUCUUAAACAUUAAUAAUGCCUUUUCUCUAAUAUUUAAAUAAAUAGGCAAGAUUUGAGAGUGUGGAGAAAGUGUUAAAAUGGUAGUCUGAAGUCUUGAGUUCCAUUUCAGUGUGUCACAGUCGAGACCCUUGUGGACCAUUUGUGAAAUGGGUUACAAGCUGGCUCACAUGACUUCCACUCAUAAAUGUCAGCCAUACGUGGGAUGGUGCCUGAGGGACACUCACAAGGAAGUGAGGACACCAGAAUCAUGUGAAAACAAUCAGCAAACAGAGAGAGGAAGAGGGAGAGAGAGAAGGAAACAUCAAUGUGUUGUUCUACUUGUUGAUGAAUUCAUUGAUUGAUUCCCGCAUAUGCCUGACUGUGGGGGAAACUUUGCCUGCAAGUGUCCCCCCCCCACCCCCGUCAGCCACGGAUGAAAAUAAUACUGCCAAGACAUGAUCUGUUUGGGGAGGAAAAGCAGUCAAUCUCUCACAGGAGGACCAAGAGCCUUUUGUUCAAUGGGCUUUCAUUGGGUUCGUUUUGCACAAGAAGACAGAGAGAGGGGAUGAGAAGGAGGAAGAGAAAGAGAAACAUCAGUUGGUAUCCACCAAGCCACACCAGCCAGAGCACUUUGUUCCUAAUUUUAGAGGAAAGUUUUCAGUCUUUCACUAUUAAGAUUCUAGCUGUGAGUUUUUCAUACAUGGACUUUAUUAUUUGGAGGCAGUUACUUCUAUUCCUAGUUUGCUGAGUGUUUUUAUCAUGAGAAAGUGUUAAAUUUUGUCAAAUGCUUUCUCUAUAUCAAUUGAGAUGAUGAUGUGGUUUUUUUCCCCUUCAUUCUCUUACUGUGAUUGGUCAAUUAAUUUUCAUGUGUUGAAUCUUCCUUGUAUUCCAGGAAUAAAUCUCACUUGUUUGUGGUAUAUAAUCCUUUUAAUAUGCAUUGGGACCUACAUCCAAGAUUGCUCUAUCCAGCAAAGUUCUCAUAUAGAAUGGAAGGGCAGAUAAAGUGCUCCUCAGAUAAGGUCAAAUUCAAAGAGUUCAUCAUCACCAAGCCCUAUUACAUGAAAUGUUAAAGGGAUUUAUCUAAGAAAGAGAAGAUAAAAAAUAUGACUGUGAAAGGACAGCAAACUCACACCUAAAACAAAAGCAAACUAAGCAGACAGCUAGAUCAGGAGCAGAGCCAAAGAAAUGGAGAUCACAUGGAGGGUUAGC